rnacentral:rRNA from 1 species
UACAGAGGUGGCAAGCGUUGUUCGGAUUUAUUGGGCGUAAAGGGUUCGUAGGCGGUCUGAAAAGUCAGGUGUGAAAUCUCACAGCUUAACUGUGGAACUGCAUUUGAUACUGCCAGACUAGAGUGUGAGAGGGGUGAAGGGAAUUCCUGGUGUAAGGGUGAAAUCUGCAGAGAUCAGGAAGAACACCUGUCGCGAAGGCGCUUCACUGGCUCACUACUGACGCUGAGGGACGAAAGCUAGGGGAGCAAACGGG